GUUCCCAUGCCGAACACGAAGGUUAAGCUUCAAAGCGCUGAUGGUACUGCAGGGGAGGCCCUGUGGAAGAGUAAGUCGUUGCCAGAU
rnacentral:rRNA from 1 species